AUAAACUUUUAAGACGGUUAACAUUACUACUAAUGAUCAUACUGUUACAAAAUCAGCAGGGCUGUUUGUAAACCCUUCCAACUGCAGUUGUGAAAGCUUUGCUUUCAUUAUAAUACUACCUCAGAACAUUUAUAUUUUCAAUAUUUGCUAAUGGCACCAAAUUCAGUUGAGGAUACACAGACUAAUCAAUAUGUAUUUAAUGACAAAUUACUUGAUCUUAUGUUUUGGAUCAGAUUAGGUGGGGCGGUAGAAGCCAGGAUGGUGCAGGAAAUACUGUUGGUGAAGAGGUGGAACAGGUCAAUAGCUUUCUUUCAAGGGCUGCUCUUACUACAAAGUACAUGACCAAGUCAGGUUGGUUGAAAAAACUAAAUCAUUAACCCUUGCGUGUGACACAAUUUACUAGAUAGUACAAUUGAUUUGUUAUUAUCUGUUUUGUGUUUUUAAGGCAGAGCAGAUAUGAUAACUGUGCUUGCCAUGGCAUGGAAUCAUAGGAAGGAAGAAAGUCUCCACAAGACACUGGUGAAAAGAUUUAUCAAAAGUACACAGAGAGCAGAAAUGGAAGCAGCCAAUCUUGAGAGUCUAAUGCAGGAGUUAAACAUCUCUAUGGAGGAUGCAGAUCAAUGGGUGUCUGAUGUCAAGCAAUGGGCAGCCACUGAGAGACACAGUACUCACAGUAGUCAGGAAGAGCUCCAGAGAGAAAUCGAUGAGAUUAUUUAUUCCAUCCGAAGAAAGAAGCAUGAUCUGUAUCGACAAAAUGACAGCAACCAAACAAGGCAACGCAAACGGAGGAGACUAAGUGAGCUCAAAAAGACACUCCAAGAGAAGAUAGUGCAGUACAACACCCUUCCUGGCUGUGAAGAGAAAAUUGACACAGAAGCAGCAUGCUGUCUCUCAGACGAUUUUAUUCUGCCUUGGGAAGCACAAGGAGAUGUGGUGAGUCUCCGCUUAAAGAGGCAACUGUUUGACCAAGUCAUGCUGGUCAGGCGCAUGGAGGAGGAGAAGAUAAUAAUUGUAAAGGAGAUGACUGGGAAUGAGUAGCAAGAGAAGAAAUGAAGUCUGCUUUGUUAACAGCAGACUGGCAGUUCCAGAGACCAACUGGAAUAGAGAGCGUAGUAGUAGAGGUCAGAGGGACAGGUCUUAGAUUUGUUACAUCGAGAUGUUGAUGCCAGUAAGCUAAUGUUAUGGUUUCUUGUACGUAUUGCUUCAAAUCUAAAAGUAAUUUUAAAUCACCAGUCUUGUUAGCUAUUUCUUAGUCCUUGGCAUUCAAACUGCAGUGCAUGUUUCCCACUAUAUAGUUCAUGAAAUGCUGCCUAAUUAUCAAUGUCAAUUUUCUUAACCCUUUACUUAAGAUCCACAUCGAGAGCUGACCGAAGAGGGGCAAAGGGGGCUACAUUGCUGUAUCUUACAUAAGCAGCACAUUCUGUAGCAAAAACUAGCAGCAGUCACCAGCACCUAUGGUAGUGUCAACACAGACCCUUUCUUCAUGCUGGAAGAAGAUGUUGAAGAGGAGAGUGAGGACAACAGCAGUCCACAGCUUUCUGAAGAAGAGUUUUAAAGUUUUAGCACAAACAUUGGAUUCACCAUCUUCAAAAGGACUCUUGAGAUUUGACUCUGGAAAUUAAAUAUAUUUCAUAUUAUAAAACAAAAUAAGUAAAAGUCUUUCUAAACCUGAGCUACUGUGUCUGUUGUUUUUUUCGUACACAAACAUGUUCUUAUUUUUCUCAGAUUUGGAUAACAGAAGCCUUUACAUUACCCAUGAUCCUCUGUCACCACUGUUACAGAGACACAGCUAGCACAGCUUGCUUACUUCUUGUUACUUUUAUAUUUCUGAUUUUACAUUGGGCAUUACAGAACACCUCAACUGCUACAUAAAUGUUAUUGCACAUUUAAUAAAAUGUAUAUUCACACACA
ensembl:lncRNA